rfam:Parcubacteria (Giovannonibacteria) bacterium GW2011_GWA1_44_25 TW53_C0002, whole genome shotgun sequence.
GCCCCAGUGGCGGAACUGGAAUACGCGUACGGCUCAGAACCGUAUCCCGCAAGGGUUAGAGGUUCAAAUCCUCUCUGGGGCA